GGCCUUGACAUACUAAGAACUUUCCAGAGAUGGAUUGGUGCCUUCGGGAACUUAGAUACAGGUGCUGCAUGGCUGUCGUCAGCUCGUGUCGUGAGAUGUUCGGGUUAAGUCCCGCAACGAGCGCAACCCUUUUCCUAUUUGCCAGCGGGUCAUGCCGGGAACUUUAAGGAUACUGCCAGUGACAAACUGGAGGAAGGCGGGGACGACGUCAAGUCAUCAUGGCCCUUACGGCCAGGGCUACACACGUGCUACAAUGGUCGGUACAAAGGGUUGCUACCUCGCGAGAGGAUGCUAAUCUCAAAAAGCCGAUCGUAGUCCGGAUCGCAGUCUGCAACUCGACUGCGUGAAGUCGGAAUCGCUAGUAAUCGCGGAUCAGAAUGCCGCGGUGAAUACGUUCCCGGGCCUUGUACACACCGCCCGUCACACCAUGGGAGUUUGUUGCACCAGAAGUAGGUAGUCUAACCGCAAGGAGGACGCUUACCACGGUGUGGCCGAUGACUGGGGUGAAGUCGUAACAAGGUAGGCGUAGAUGA
rnacentral:rRNA from 1 species